UUAAAACGCACAUAUCUGCGA
rnacentral:piRNA from 1 species